rnacentral:lncRNA from 1 species
AGGUUUGAUCCAUGGCCUGGGAACUUCUGCAUGCUGUGUGUGUGGCAAUAAAUAGAUAGGUAUAUAGAUAGAUAAACAGACAGACAGAUAGAUAAAUAAAUAACAAUAGGAAUUUCCCGGUAUUAUCCACAAGAUUAAUUUAACAGUACACUUCAUUUCUGGGUAUCUUAAAAAAAGCACCAUACAUCUGUUCCCUAGAGUACUGUUUUAUAAAUUCAUUUUGGCUGAAUGUGGCCUGGAGGUAAAACUCCACCUUGUUCAUGACUUAUUUCCCUGGAACUCCAUAUGCCAUGAGGUGGCAAAAGAAAGAAAGAAAGAAAGAAAGAAAGAAAGAAAGAAAGAAAGAAAGAAAAGAAAGAAAGGAAGAAAGAAAGAAAGAAAGAGGAAGGAAGGAAGGAAAGGAUGGAAGGAAGGAAGGAAGGAAGGAAGGAAAAGAAAGAAAGAAAGAAGAAUGGAAAUAUUCAGGGAUGAAGAGAUGAAUGAAACUUCCUGAGAUCACUGUUACUGUGUCUUGAAUUGGAACUGGCAUGCUGGGAUUGCGAGUGUAGAAAUGCAUGCUAAAGCCCCUCAGAAAACACACACUAGCACUCACACCCUCUUCUCACAGAUCAUGGGUAGGUAUGGGUAUUCUCCACGUUGGGUGGAAUAUACAAAUAAUAAAAAAUACUGUCGAAGCAAUCUGAAUAAGUACCUGAACAACUAACAUGCUUAUACAAUGUGUUCCUUUACAAAAAAUUCAAUAGAAAACUAAUAAAGAAAUGCAAUGUUUCUAAGUAAUCAGAAUAAAAGCAAAAUGGCUUUAAAAAUUGGGUGCUGGAAAUGGCUUUUGACCAAAUGGAUGAAAAUAUCUCUGUGGAGAGAACAGUCUGGCUGGUUCUCAUGAGGGGGAUAGAAUCUAAUUCUAAAGCAUUCUGUGGGAUCCUGUGAAGAGUUAGAAUUAUCAACACUCUCAAAUUUACCUGGAAGGUGUGAUCCACCCUCCUGAGCUCAUAGGAAGAGAGCAGGGUGGUUGGCGCUACCCUUGACAAUUUCAUAUCUGAGCAAUGACAUUCUAGAAUGGAACAGGUUUAAUCCUGGCAUUGUGAUUACAAUAAUUAUAUGUAAUAAGACUUUUCAGGUUGCUGUAUUAUUCCCCUUUGCUGUGAGACAUCAUCCCAUCUCUGCCUUGACUGGGUUAAGCUCUGGGUUUUUGACAACCAAGUUAAAAUUCUGGAAUUCUACAAACACCAGUGUUUACCAAAUUAAGAGUUUACGGUCUAAAGUUAAAUGCAUGGGUUUCAAAUUUUAUUUUUCCAUCAAUCAACAAAAGUUGUCUUUCAAAUAUCUCUUUCUAUUAAAAAGUAAACCCUUUAUUUUAUUUAUUUAUUUAUUUAUUUUUGUUUUUCAGGGCUGCAUCUGCAGCAUAUGGAAAUUCCCAGGCUAGGAGUCAAAUCAGAGCUACAGCUGCUGGCCUAGGCCACAGCAACAUGGGAUCCGAGCCGCAUCUGUUUCCUCAUACCAAGCUCUUGGCAAUGGUGGAUCCUUAACCCACUGAGCAAGGCCAGGGAUUGAAUCUAUAUCCCCAUGGAUACUAGUCAGGUCUGUAACCUGCUGAGCCACAACAGGAACUCCUAAAAGUGUGAUUUUCAAAAUUUUAUAAUAUACCCUUUUUCACCCAUCUGAGAAAUGGCAAUCACACAGGCUGUUUUUAAUCCAAGAACACACCCAGCUAGUUCUCAGUGAGAUUUAAUGUUCUUGUGCCUUCUAUGACAGUUUCCUUCUAAUGUUUUGUUGAUACUACUUAUGAUUCACUUAUUAGAGAAAGAACUAAUUUCUAAGCUUUUCUUAUAAAUAAUUGGAGACGACGUAGAAAUUAAAUAUAAAAUAACACAGGGUAACUCAGAAGAACAAUAUCAUAUAAUUUAAAAUACAGAAAACCAAUCUAAUUAACGCAAUUGAGUGCCAAAUUUGACUCUGAGACAUCUAGCAAAAAAAUAAAAUAAAAAAGAAAAUUAAGAAAACUAUGACCUUUGACUAUGAGGCUCAGAAAAUGAAAAGCAAACCAACUGGCUGAAAAAUGGGAUUAAUAUUAUAAUACAUAACACCAAAAAUAUCAAGUAUGAUAAAGGCAUUCAGAGGCUGACUUGUCUAUUCUUGUGGGGGUAUGUAAUUCACAAUAAUCUCUAGAAUAAGCCAUUAAGCUUUAUUUUACAAAUCAAAUAUAAAGAGAACUGAACUGGAAAAGUCAUAAUUUUGUCAACCAAGCAUAAUUCAGGGCACUUGGGAGGCUUCAGAAUGGUGUGUGCCAUUACAGCAGAUAUUUUCAAAGGAUUUUAGAACCUCUUUUAUCAACAUAAUAUGGUAAAGUAUGUAAUCAUCUUUAUCAGGACUCUGCAGCAGCUCCCAUGCUCAUGGCAAACCCCCAAAUCACUACAAGUUGGCUUUUUCCCAAUUGCCAGGGCUUUCAGCAAUCACCCCUCUGUACACAAGGCAGCUGGCUCACUACAUGGUAGCCUAAGGAAAACAAUUCCGGCCUCUGCAAUCCCUGGGUUUCCAAUUCUAAGGCACUGUGAUUUCAGAGACCAAAUUCUUUCAUAACUUGCACAUGCCUCUUUGAUCUUGCAAUGGCGCAAUGUUAUAAUUAAUCCAGUGAGGAAUAGAUUCUUAUCCGACUUGGCGCGGGGGGCAGGGGCAUGUUGGGUGAAAAUCAGAGAAAGCACAAAUAUCUAACACCACAGUAAGUCUUUUGUGCUACCUUUCAUUUGUUUGCCUGUACUGUUGUUUUGUUUUGUUUUGUAAUUCUGCAAAUCUUUUACCAACAUGGAAAUCAUAUUCCUUGCAUUCUGUAGAGCCUCUUCCUUUAGGCCUAUUAAAUUUUAUUCUUCUGAUUUCUUCCCUAAAUAUAGGAUAUGGUAUGGCUCAAGCAAAACCCUGCAAAGGAAUCUUCAGUCACUUUUUCCAUGGACUGAGGAGGGGAAGAAAAUAUUAUGGUAUUUCAACUGUACAUACAACUGUGAGAUUAAAUUUCUAGGCAAUAUCAUGGAUGGUAUUCAUAAAUAAAAUUUCCCCUGAAUUUAUUUAGAGUGUAAAGUAUAUUAUAUAGUAUCAAAAUAGAAUUUAAACAUACUAAACUACUUUUCUCCUACCCAGACUCAGAAUCUUCCUUUUACAAAGCUAUGAAGAAGAAAAUAUGAUUGCAAUCAAUAUCUGUUCAGGCGAUAUGAGGUCAUUAUCACUGAUGCGUAUCAAUGGUUAAAAAAAAAAAAAAACUUUCAAGAAUGACAUAAUGAACGAUUACCUCCAGUUCAAUUAUCUUGGCUUCUAAACCUCUAGCUACAAUUUCUGUCUGUGAAUGAGAGACCUCACUGGGUCAAAUGGAGACCUGCUAACACAUUCUGUAAAAUUCCACAUCCAUUAGAGUGAAGUGGAAGUUAGACAAUUCUAGAAAGAAGAUAAAGGUGACUCCUUGACUAAUGGGACAAGUUGAAAUAAAGGAGACUUUAUUGUUUCAAGAACUGAUUUUUUACAUUUAAUUGCAUUGGGAUUUUGAUGUCUAGCAUGCAAAAACCAGUAGUUUGACCUUGUUUCUUUUCCUUACUGGUAUUUUUAGCAAAUAUUUUUAUUGAGUGGAAAUGACUACGAUAGUAUGAAAAUUUUAAUCAUACUACAAUCAUUUACCUUGUACUGUCUCUGUAUAAAGAACUCUGAAUAAGCAGAUUCUUGCAUUUCAUGUGAUCCUGUUGUGUUUAUAAUUAUGAAAUAAUUUAAUAGGUAAAAGAAAUUAAAUCAAACUUUUCAAUAGCUAAAAAUAUCAUUAUAAAAUCUGAUACAAAGAUUUUGGAAACAUCACCUUUUGAAACGAGCACAUUUCAAUACCUUUCUGCUUUUUAGACCCCUUUCAAGGUCAUGAGAAAAACAAAUAUUUAAAUAUGACUGUGGGAUUGAAGAAGAUCACUGAGACUAGGAAGGCUAGAUUGUAUUUUCUUCACUCAUGAGGAGUCGAAAGCCUAAGAAAAUUUUUUUAAAAAAUUGAGCAGAGACACAGAGUCAGCAAGUGAACUAAAUAAAUGUAAAACUAAAGGAAGAAAGAAGAUAAAUCACCUAUAUUUUUUGUCUUCUUUUAAUGGAAGGACGUUUUCACUGUGAUCUAGGUUUGAAUCAAUUAUACAAAGACCCAUAUCUACUAUGAAUUGUCAAACAUUUUCAAAUUAAACAAUUAAAAGUAAUAUUGAAUCCAUUGACUUCAAUUAUGUGAGAUAUUUUUGAAUUACAAAAGGAUGAAGCUAAACUCUGAAAUUUAUCUCCCAUUUGCAGUG